GCAACUCGCCUACAUGAAGUCGGAAUUGCUAGUAAUCGCGGAUCAGCAUGCCGCGGUGAAUACGUUCCCGGGCCUUGUACACACCGCCCGUCACACCAUGGGAGUCGGUAACACCCGAAGCCUGUAGUCUAACCGCAAGGAGGACGCAGUCGAAGGUGGGAUUGAUGACUGGGGUGAAGUCGUAACAAGGUAUC
rnacentral:rRNA from 1 species